CCUACGGGUGGCAGCAGUGGGGAAUAUUGCACAAUGGGGGAAACCCUGAUGCAGCGACGCCGCGUGAGCGAUGAAGUAUUUCGGUAUGUAAAGCUCUAUCAGCAGGGAAGAAAAUGACGGUACCUGACUCAAAAGCCCCGGCUAACUACGUGCCAGCAGCCGCGGUAAUACGUAGGGGGCCAGCGUUAUCCGGAUUUACUGGGGGUAAAGGGAGCGUAGACGGCGAUGCAAGCCAGAUGGGAAAACGGGGGGCUCAACCCCGGGACUGCAUUUGGAACUGUGCUGCUAGAGUGUCGGAGAGGAAGGCGGAAUUCCUAGUGUAGCGGUGAAAUGCGUAGAUAUUAGGAGGAACACCAGUGGCGAAGGCGGCCUGCUGGACGAUAACUGACGUUGAGGCUCGAAAGCGUGGGGAGCAAACAGGAUUAGAUACCCUUGUAGUC
rnacentral:rRNA from 1 species